CGGUCCGGCUUCAGCCCCACCGCUGUCCAGGCCUCGGUCCAAGCUCAGGCUGAGCGGCAGGACAGCUCUCACGCAGCCCAACUCGGGAUGGACGCACGCCCGAUCUUCCGUUGGAUUCAGUCAUUCUCCUUUUGGUUGAUAGCGUGUGAACCUUGGGGUCUAGAAGGCAGGUCCUGAAAAGAUGAGGCACCUGAAACUCAGGAGUCUAUAGAAACUCAGCUACAAGUGGAGAAGUGGAGAUUCAAACUUGGGGUGCCCACCCACACCCCAAGUCCAACCUGGACACCCUAGCACCUCUCCUGAAAACAGCAUCAUUGAACCGUGGCCCAGUGACCCCAGAGGGUCAUUGCUGCCAUGGAGGGAGGCUUUAAGGACUAUUUCUACAACCAGGAGUCGAUAUGUUCAUAACAGAGCUUCCAUCAAGCUGUCAUAAAAACCAAGAAGACAAUUCAUCGUUUUACUUGCUAUCCUCUUCCAGAGUCUGUGGGUAGCCCUGGGAGUGCAACCUUUUCUGGAGUAGAUGACCCUGGACGUCAUGCUGCCACUGUCUCCCCCAUGACCACUUUCCCAGACCGUCAUGGAAACCCACUGUGCAUUUUAAGCAGGGGAACAGUCAGGUUCAAAAAAUGCUUACUUUUUGGAAAUAAAAGUACACUGUGAUCUUCAUUCAUUUGUUGGACUCACUUUCAUCCUCUAUCUCUAAGGCAGAAUCACAGCAGGUGUUGACUUAUGGCACCCCUAGAAAUCAUCACCUGUGGUCCUUAUUUAAGUUGAACUUUUGAGCUUAAUUGUGAUGACUUUCUAUGACUUUCUAUAGGGUUUGGGGUCCCAAAGAGUCUGACAUGACUUAGCGACUAAACAACAACAACAUCCCAGAACAAUGUAAAUCCAGGAACUGGAAAGAAACAGUUCACAAAAUGAAGAAAACAAGCAAACCCUUCAAAUGAAGAACUCAACCUUUCUCACAUAAGAACACUUAAAUGAGAGUCAAAUAAGUGACACAGAAAGCCUCUUUACCCGCAGAGCCAGCAGUUGAGUGGAUAGUGGGAAGCAGCUAAUGAUGUGAGUUGCUCAAGCCAAAGAAUUGCAUUUCCCGUGAAAUACCUGGAUAAUUGGCUCAUUUCCCUGAAUGUUAUAUAGAGCACAGGUCUGACCCAAAAAACAGAUACUGAGAAAGAAGAAAGGAAGAUUCUUUCUUGGUUUCUAAUUGCAGGAAGGAAAGAAUCCUUCCCUGUGUGUGUUCCGUUCAUGUGGUGACAUGUGCUGGAUUUUAAAGGGUUGGCACUUUCAUGCAUCAUCAGAGAAAACAGAAGAGCAAUGUCACUGAUGGUCGUUAGGAUGGAUGCCACAAGAAGUGCUUCGAAGAACUCUCUUUAUCAGGAAAUAAAACGGUUUUCCCCUCUCUGAAAACACUGGGGGUGUCAACAGAGGAAACUGAACUGGAAUUCAGGAGAGCCUGGGACCCAGCGUGUCUCUAGACUGGUGUGGCCGUGAGCAAGUCUGUCACUGUCUCUGGGCUUCAGUCAGGCAUCUCUGCAGCUGACAGAACCGGAUGCGAUGGAGGUUUUCAGCUUUGCCCCUGUCCAUGGCGGUCCCAGGUGACUGCUGCCGCAGGACUGCGAAUCAGGUGACUCAGACCCCACUCACCAUCAGCCACAGGGAGGUGCCUGGUCCACGAGUCCACCACAGCUGGGGAACAGCAGCCCCAUGUGGCCCAAGGCAGCCCGGGGAGACUCUCAGAACUCGAACUACUGAGAAAGAGCGGUCCCCCUUCCCAUGGACCACUGGGUACCAAGUUGCAUGGGACUGCAGGAGUGGUAUCUGAGGAUGAAGCCACCAUCAAAGAAAGCAGGAGGCAGACGAAAGGGAUAGGAUGCCGGCUGUUCUCAUUUGCGCACCUGCCUCCAGCUACGCCUGAAGUUAGUCCUAUGCCUGGACUUUCUGUUAGGAGCUCCUGUCAUUUGUAAACAGUAUCAUCGU